CAGAACGAACGCUGGCGGCAUGCCUAACACAUGCAAGUCGAACGAGACCUUCGGGUCGUAGUGGCGCACGGGUGCGUAACGCGUGGGAAUCUGCCCUUGGGUUCGGAAUAACAGCGAGAAAUUGCUGCUAAUACCGGAUGAUGACGUAAGUCCAAAGAUUUAUCGCCCAAGGAUGAGCCCGCGUAGGAUUAGCUAGUUGGUGAGGUAAUGGCUCACCAAGGCGACGAUCGUUAGCUGGUCUGAGAGGACGAUCAGCCACACUGGGACUGAGACACGGCCCAGACUCCUACGGGAGGCAGCAGUGGGGAAUAUUGGACAAUGGGGGCAACCCUGAUCCAGCCAUGCCGCGUGAGUGAUGAAGGCCUUCGGGUUGUAAAGCUCUUUUGGCGGGGACGAUGAUGACGGUACCCGCAGAAUAAGCCCCGGCUAACUUCGUG
rnacentral:rRNA from 1 species